AUGCUAUUUAUGUUCGUUUUAACUUCAUUCCAAUCUGUUUGCAUUACAUUGAACAUUUGCUUCGACAGACGUUGUUUUUUUUUCCUGCUGAAGGCGAGCAGAUUGUGCUUGGUAUCGCAAGUCCUCCACAAACAUUCCAUAGCUGUGACAGGACCUGCACCUUAUCGCAUUUUAAUCCUUCACACAUAUAAAAUACUUUCAUUAAAUCCCGUCUCCGUGCGACUUCCCAUAGUCCGCUCACAGCCGCAGCGCCGUACACAACGAGGGCAAGGCGCGGCAGGGCCGGGCCCACUGCGGCACGGGGGCCCUCCCGGGGCCGGCGCCGUGAGGCGGCUCCCGCCCAGCCACCGGCACGCAGCGGGCACUACGAGUACCGAGAUGCAGCGCGCGGAGGGGCGGGCUCCGUGGGCACUACAGAUCCCACAAUGCUCCGCGUCGCCCUGUGGCUCCGCUCGGGGAGGCUGGUUCCUAUUUAAAUCUGGGCAGCGAGGAAAAUGGCGGCGAGAGGUUGAGCGCGGGGGAGACGGGGACAGAGCUGCGCCUUGGCUCCUUUCCCAGUCCAUGAAAACAAAGCCAUUAGAUUCAGUGCCCUUGGAGUACUGCUGGUGCUACUCAGGAAAGCCAGGCAUUCCUACCAGCUUCUGUUGGAGAGAGAAGACUGCUAGUACAUCCAAAUAAAGCUGCAGUCAGCAUUGUCAGAGGGAUGGUUAGAGCAGCAGAUGAAUGUGAAUGCAACCAGUUGAUAUGAAAAGCUUCAGUUCGCUUUCUUAAGAAAUGAGGUACUUGAAUAAAACUCCUUUACCUGCCUACUGGUGAUUAGCUGUUAAGUAGUCUGACUGGAAGUAUCCAUUUUGAAACUCUUGAUUGGUAUAGGCCUUUGGUGUGUGCUUACAUGUGAAUGUCUCAUAAAUAUUUCCCAGGAGCAAUUUAUUUUUCUAAUUAGCUUGAACAUCCUCUGCUUUAGGUAGCGCUUUAAGCAAUUUUCAGUAAAUCAAUUCAAUCACACAGCUGUUGUUUGAAACUUUUCCUAAGUUCCCGUAAUUCUCUGUAGAGACCCAGAAUCUCACUAAUUAGUACACUUAAUCAUACCUUCUAUAAAAUGCGUGGCAAUAUGGAUUAAUCAGUCCCAGAAUUUCAUAGGAAAACAGGGUAACAGAAAACCAAGUGUAUAUAGCUGUGAAAGCAGUCUGUUAUUCUCAUGUACCAGUUAUGUACAGUGUGCACAAGCUGGCACAAAAUGGCUGAGCACUGAGCUUUUUGCAUGGCAGUCAUCACAAAAUAAUUAAUUUGGGGCUGCAGGUUUUUGUACUUAGACUUUUAAGUUACUAAGAUCAAACAUCAACUUUUUCUUUAGAUUUCCUCUGAAGGAAAAAGUACAUUUUCUGUUCCUAUAUGAAAGGACAUCUAUCUUAGUAUGGUGGUAUCUGUGAUGUUACAGUUCAGACUGUUAGCUGUUCGGCACAUACUAGAGGUGACAUUUACAGUUAAUACAAAUGAGUUUUAAAUUUCUUUCAUGUUAGUUACAGUGACUGUUUAGUUUUUGGUGAGAUUGUUAAUAUUAGAUUAAAAGAAAAAAUGGGAAUGC
ensembl:lncRNA